rnacentral:rRNA from 1 species
GACGAACGCUGGCGGCGUGCUUAACACAUGCAAGUCGAACGGAAAGGCCCUGCUUGCAGGGUACUCGAGUGGCGAACGGGUGAGUAACACGUGGGUGAUCUGCCCUGCACUUCGGGAUAAGCCUGGGAAACUGGGUCUAAUACCGGAUAGGAGCCAUUUUUAGUGUGAUGGUUGGAAAGUUUUUUCGGUGUAGGAUGAGCUCGCGGCCUAUCAGCUUGUUGGUGGGGUAAUGGCCUACCAAGGCGGCGACGGGUAGCCGGACUGAGAGGGUGGACGGCCACAUUGGGACUGAGAGGCGGCCUAGACUCCUACGGGAGGCAGCAGUGGGGAAUAUUGCACAAUGGGCGCAAGCCUGAUGCAGCAGCGCCGCGUGGGGGAUGACGGCCUUCGGGUUGUAAACUCCUUUCGCUAGGGACGAAGCUUUUUGUGACGGUACCUAGAUAAGAAGCACCGGCUAACUACGUG